AAAAAGAUAAACCAUGAGUUUUCGUGCACAACGUUUGACCGUCCGUCUUAUUUAAAAAAAUAUGAAAAAAAUUAAAAAGACAAGUCACGCAUAAAGUAUUAAUCAUGUUUUAUCAUCUAACAACAAUGAAAAUACUAAUUAUAAAAAAAAUCAUAUAAGACGGAUAGUUAAACGUUGGACACGGAAAUCCAUGAUUUAUCUUUUC
rnacentral:pre_miRNA from 1 species